rnacentral:rRNA from 1 species
CCUACGGGAGGCAGCAGUGAGGAAUAUUGGUCAAUGGGAGAGAUCCUGAACCAGCCAAGCCGCGUGAGGGAAGACGGCCCUAUGGGUUGUAAACCUCUUUUGUCGGAGAACAAAACCCGGGACGUGUCCCGGACUGCGUGUAUCCGAAGAAAAAGCAUCGGCCAACUCCGUGCCAGCAGCCGCGGUAAUACGGAGGAUGCGAGCGUUAUCCGGAUUUAUUGGGUUUAAAGGGUGCGUAGGCGGUCCGUUAAGUCAGCGGUAAAAUGGCGGGGCUCAACCCCGUCGAGCCGUUGCAACUGGCUGACUUGAGUUAGCGGGAAGUACGCGGAAUGCGCGGUGUAGCGGUGAAAUGCAUAGAUAUCGCGCAGAACUCCGAGUGCGAAGGCAGCGUACCGGCGCCAGACUGACGCUGAGGCACGAAAGCGUGGGGAUCGAACAGGAUUAGAUACCCGUGUAGUC